rnacentral:snoRNA from 13 species
UUGCAGCUGAGUUCGAGAAGUUUCUCCCGUGAGAGAUAUAUUUAUCAAAUGUUGCGAAAGUGACAAUG